UACGUAGGGGGCAAGCGUUGUCCGGAUUUAUUGGGCGUAAAGAGCGUGUAGGCGGCCAGGUAGGUCUGCUGUGAAAACUCGAGGCUUAACCUCGAGCUGUCGGCGGAAACCAUCUGGCUAGAGUCCGGAAGAGGAGAAUGGAAUUCCCGGUGUAGCGGUGAAAUGCGUAGAUAUCAGGAGGAACACCGGUGGCGAAGGCGCACAUCUGGCCCGAUACUGACGCUGAGGCGCGAAAGCUAGGGGAGCAAACGGG
rnacentral:rRNA from 1 species